rnacentral:rRNA from 1 species
CCUACGGGUGGCAGCAGUGAGGAAUAUUGGUCAAUGGACGAGAGUCUGAACCAGCCAAGUAGCGUGAAGGAUGACUGCCCUAUGGGUUGUAAACUUCUUUUAUAUGGGAAUAAAAUGUUCCACGUGUGGGAUUCUGUAUGUACCAUAUGAAUAAGGAUCGGCUAAUUCCGUGCCAGCAGCCGCGGUAAUACGGAGGAUCCGAGCGUUAUCCGGAUUUAUUGGGCUUAAAGGGAGCGUAGGUGGGUUGUUAAGUCAGUUGUGAAAGUGUGCGGCUCAACCGCAAAAUUGCAGUUGAAACUGGCAGUCUUGAGUACAGUAGAGGUGGGCGGAAGUCGUGGUGUAGCGGUGAAAUGCUUAGAUAUCACGAAGAACUCCGAUUGCGAAGGCAGCCCGCUGGACUGCAACUGACACUGAGGCUCGAAGGUGUGGGUAUCAAACAGGAUUAGAUACCCGUGUAGUC